AUUGAACGCUAGCGGCAUGCUUAACACAUGCAAGUCGAACGAGUGGCGGACGGGAGAGUAAUAUAUCGGACCGUGCCAAGUAGCGGGGGAAAACUACUAGACAGAGUGGCUAAUACCGAAUCCUAUGGGAUGGGCCGAUAUCGGAUGAGCUAGUUGGUGGGGUAAAGGCUCACCAAGGCGACGAUCCCUAGAUGGUUUGAGAGGACGACCAGCCACACUGGGACUGAGACACGGCCCAGACUCCUACGGGAGGCAGCAGUGGGGAAUUUUGGACAAUGGGGGAAAGCCUGAUCCAGCCAUCCCGCGUGUAUGAGAAGGCCUUCGGGUUGUAAAGUACUUUUAGAGAGGAGGCGGUAUCUGCAGAAUAAGCACCGGCUAACUACGUGCCAGCAGCCGCGGUAAUUC
rnacentral:rRNA from 1 species